rnacentral:rRNA from 1 species
AUUGAACGCUGGCGGCAUGCUUUACACAUGCAAGUCGAGCGGCAGCGCGGGGGCAACCCUGGCGGCGAGCGGCGGACGGGUGAGUAAUGCAUCGGAACGUAUCCCGUAGUGGGGGACAACCCAGCGAAAGCUGGGCUAAUACCGCAUAUGCUCUACGGAGGAAAGUGGGGGACCCGCAAGGGCCUCACGCUAUGGGAGCGGCCGAUGUCCGAUUAGCUAGUUGGUGGGGUAAAGGCCUACCAAGGCGACGAUCGGUAGCUGGUCUGAGAGGAUGAUCAGCCACACUGGGACUGAGACACGGCCCAGACUCCUACGGGAGGCAGCAGUGGGGAAUUUUGGACAAUGGGGGCAACCCUGAUCCAGCCAUGCCGCGUGCGGGAAGAAGGCCU